rnacentral:tRNA from 21 species
GCGGACGUGGCUCAGUUGGUAGAGCAUCACCUUGCCAAGGUGAGGGUCGCGGGUUCGAAUCCCGUCGUCCGCUC